rnacentral:rRNA from 1 species
UACGUAGGGUGCAGGCGUUUAAUCAGAAUUACUGGGCGUAAAGGGCUCGUAGGCGGCCAACUAAGUCAGACGUGAAAUCCCUCGGCUUAACCGGGGAACUGCGUCUGAUACUGGAUGGCUUGAGAUUGGGAGAGGGAUGCGGAAUUCCAGGUGUAGCGGUGAAAUGCGUAGAUAUCUGGAGGAACACCGGUGGCGAAGGCGACAUCCUGGACCAACACUGACGCUGAGAAGCGAAAGCAUGGGGAGCGAACAGG